GACGAACGCUGGCGGCGUGCCUAAUACAUGCAAGUAGAACGCUGAAGGAGGAGCUUGCUUCUCUGGAUGAGUUGCGAACGGGUGAGUAACGCGUAGGUAACCUGCCUGGUAGCGGGGGAUAACUAUUGGAAACGAUAGCUAAUACCGCAUAAGAGUAGAUGUCGCAUGACAUUUGCUUAAAAGGUGCAAUUGCAUCACUACCAGAUGGACCUGCGUUGUAUUAGCUAGUUGGCGAGGUAACGGCUCACCAAGGCAACGAUACAUAGCCGACCUGAGAGGGUGAUCGGCCACACUGGGACUGAGACACGGCCCAGACUCCUACGGGAGGCAGCAGUAGGGAAUCUUCGGCAAUGGACGGAAGUCUGACCGAGCAACGCCGCGUGAGUGAAGAAGGGUGUCGGAUCGUAAAGCUCUGUUGUAAGAGAAGAACGAGUGUGAGAGUGGAAAGUUCACACUGUGACGGUAUCUUACCAGAAAGGGACGGCUAACUACGUG
rnacentral:rRNA from 1 species